CGUUUCUCUUGGAUCAAACGUUGCACUGAACUGAUGUUCAAAAGUUCUCCUGAGAAGCCCCUUUUGAAGAGUGAGGAAAAGUCUCUGAUAUCCAAUAAUGAUUAUGCAAGUUUAAAAUCUGCCUGCAAAUUGGAUUCUUCCAAUGGAUAUCAUGGACAAAACCUUAAAUCAAUAGAGAGUUCUGGGACGAGACAGCCUGUGAGAUAUGCUUUUGGUGAACCAAAGGUGAUAUCUGAACCCCCUGAAGAUGAUAUUGUCAAGGGAAAACAUGAUGAGGAAGAUGCUAAUGAAGAGAUUGCUCCCUCACUUUCUGAACAAGGAAUUAACGCUGGAAGGAAAAGGAGAGUUAAAAGUUCUCCCUUGGAUGUUUCUACUGAUCCACAACUAGAGCAAAGACAGAACAAUAAGAGGAGGAGGCAACAUAAAGAUGCUGCUGUGAAUUUAUCCAAAGAUGCCGAUAACCCCUGUAUAACUUCAACCCAGAUCAAUGUGCCAGAAGGUCAGCAUUCAACUGAAGAAGGUGAAGAUGCUGACAUGGUAAUUGCGGACAAAAUCAUCAAAAUUUCAGAAGUGACUUCUGAAGUGACCUGUGAUUACUGUGAUGUUCAAGAUGGAGGAACAAAUGGUCAAUCAAAUCAGAGAUGUGUGGACCAUAGUGUGGUACCAUGUGGCUCUGAGGUAUCAGAAAUGUUAAAGGAUAAAGUGAGAAAUGUUGGACGUGGUACUGACCAACAUCAGUCUCAUGAAGAUGCAUCCAAAGCGGAUGAUCUGAGGGUUGAAGAUUCCGAUGUUGCUAUAUCUGACAAUAGUGAGAAGGUUCCUGAGAAUAUUGCUGGGAGGACAAGAUCAAAACAGAAGCUGUAGAAUUCUAGCUGUUGCCU
rnacentral:misc_RNA from 1 species